AGUGAACGCUGGCGGCGUGCUUAACACAUGCAAGUCGAACGAUGAACUUGGAGCUUGCUCUGGGGGAUUAGUGGCGAACGGGUGAGUAACACGUGAGUAACCUGCCCUGGACUCUGGGAUAACUUCGAGAAAUCGGAGCUAAUACCGGAUAGGACCUUGCACCGCAUGGUGUGGGGUGGAAAGUUUUUCGGUUUGGGAUGGACUCGCGGCCUAUCAGCUUGUUGGUGAGGUAAUGGCUCACCAAGGGGUCGACGGGUAGCCGGCCUGAGAGGGUGACCGGCCACACUGGGACUGAGACACGGCCCAGACUCCUACGGGAGGCAGCAGUGGGGAAUAUUGCACAAUGGGCGCAAGCCUGAUGCAGCAACGCCGCGUGCGGGAUGACGGCCUUCGGGUUGUAAACCGCUUUUAGUAGGGAAGAAGCCUUCGGGUGACGGUACCUGCAGAAAAAGGACCGGCUAACUACGUGCCAGCAGCCGCCGCCGUAA
rnacentral:rRNA from 1 species